AAGUUUUCAAAGGAUGGGAUGUCGGAAUAAAUGGAACGCGAGUUGGAGAUAAGAGGAGGCUAACCAUCCCUCCAUCCAUGGGGUAUGGAAGCACUGGAAUUGGAAAAAUACCAGGGAAUGCUUGGCUGGUAUUUGAUGUUGAGUUGGUGAAUGUUCAAUGAAGCGACUCUUCUUGCAUUAACCUUGCAUUUAUCAAUGUUUGACAGAGUCAUUGUUGAAACCUGAUUAGUGAAAUGAGGUUUCUUUUUUGGUAAUGUUCUGUGGAGCCAAAGGCUUAUGCAUAUUUGUCAUCUGCAAAAUGGAACUCUGGUUUUGAGACAUGGAUAUGAUUAUGGUGAAGCCUGGUUGGAGGAAAAUUUUUGCCUGUAUUCUUUUGUAGCAUCUGAACCUGCUACUUCCUAAUCUUAUGGUUCAACGGCGUUUAUUCGUU